UGCGCAGGCGGUUUGAUAAGACAGGCGUGAAAUCCCCGGGCUUAACCUGGGAAUGGCGCUUGUGACUGUCAGGCUAGAGUGCGUCAGAGGGGGGUAGAAUUCCACGUGUAGCAGUGAAAUGCGUAGAGAUGUGGAGGAAUACCGAUGGCGAAGGCAGCCCCCUGGGACGUGACUGACGCUCAUGCACGAAAGCGUGGGGAGCAAACA
rnacentral:rRNA from 1 species